rnacentral:rRNA from 1 species
GAUGAACGCUAGCGGCAGGCCUAAUACAUGCAAGUCGAACGCUCAGUAGCAAUACUGGGAGUGGCGCACGGGUGCGUAACGCGUACACAAUCUACCUCUAAGCGGGGGACACCUCCUGGAAACGGGGAUUAAUACCGCAUAAUAUGCCGAGGUCGCAUGACUUUGGUAUUAAAGCAGCAAUGCACUUAGAGAUGAGUGUGCGUCCCAUUAGGUAGUUGGUGAGGUAACGGCUCACCAAGCCUAUGAUGGGUAGCCGGUCUGAGAGGAUGGUCGGCCACACGGGCACUGAGACACGGGCCCGACUCCUACGGGAGGCAGCAGUAAGGAAUAUUGGUCAAUGGUGGAAACACUGAACCAGCCAUGCCGCGUGGAGGAAUAAGGUCCUACGGAUUGUAAACUCCUUUUGUACGAGGAAGAAAGUGUUAGAUUUAUCUAAUUUGUACGGUACUCGUAGAAUAAGCACCGGCUAACUACCGUGCCAGCAGCCGCGGUAAU